rfam:Triticum aestivum genome assembly, contig: Triticum_aestivum_CS42_TGACv1_scaffold_581446_7BL
AAAGUACUCCCUCCGUCCCAAAAUUCUUGUCUUAGAUUUGUCUAGAUACAGAUGUAUCAAGUCACUCUGUAUCUAGACAAAUCUAAGACAAGAAAUUUGGGACAGAGGGAGUAGCUA